AGGUCUGCAGCCGUACUGCGGGAAGACACAUCUCCACAGGCACAAUCACGACCCGUAAUUCUCCUGGUUCUCCCAUCUGUCGUCCAUCCUCUAAAGCGACGCAUUCCUACUUCCACUCGCUCGCUCAUACACCUCCUCAUUUGCGUCGCUUUUUUUUCCGCUCUGCAGGAGCCUCUUCUCUAAUGGUCGCCAAGGAGAACACGGCAAAGGGCGGGAGUCGCUACCCUCCGCUGACCGCGGACCAAGAGAAAGAGGUGACGGAGCUGAUUGAGCUCAUGCGGAAGAGGUAUGACCCGCUGCCGCGGCAGCUCCUUGCUCUACAGCGGUACAACUCCCCGAUGGAGGGCACGGCAAGUGAUGGCGCCGCGGUCGGCACGUUCUUCUCCCCCAUUCGCAACUACUGUUACUACUUCCUCAUCUCCCGUGAGUGGGAUAGGCAGAAGUCGUUCGAGAUGAUGCAGCUGUCUGUCAGCUACCGCGAGAAGAAUGAGCUCGACUCGCGCGCCGAGCUGCCGAGCGCCAUUUGCUGUCGGGGAUGGGACCAAGAGAAGGUGCUAAUCGCCCUGGACAAGCCGACCCGUCCGACGAACCAGCGGCUGGACCGCCUCAGCGCCGGUAUCGAACAGUACUUCACCUUCGGCCUCCACUACUGGGAUAAGCAUGGGCAGCCCGUGGUGUACCUCAACCUUGGCAGCGUCGAUGAGCCGGGGCUGCUCAAGAAGCUGAAGCAGCUUGCCAACAUCGGCCAGACACCAAAUUUGGUGAUGUGGGAGCUGGUGCAGCAUCUCAUUGGUGUGCAGGAGCAGCUUCUCUUCUACCAGCAGAUGCAGUACGCGGCCGGCGCGCUGAAGGCUGAAGCGGACGAUGGACUCAUUCGAUCCGCCACGAUCGUCAUCGACCUCAACGGACUCACCUACAAGAUGCUGUGGAAGCCGGCCUUGGACCUCUUCAUGAAUACGCUACAGACCCUCUUUCAGUACUACCCCAAGUGCGUGCACCAGAUCCUGCUUGUGAAUUCGCCGCCGAUGGUGAUGUUUGCCUACAAGAUCGUGCGCGGCGCGUUGCCGCAUGGCGUGCAAAGAAAGGUUUGCAUCGUUAACGUUGCCGACACCCCAGCCACCAUGCAGAACUUCAUUGAUGCCCAGUACGUGCCCGACUACCUCGGUGGCCUGUGUCACUGCGAGGGCGGUUGCGUCCGUGGCUACGACCCCCACCAAAAAGGAACGAUGAAGGAAAGCGACACCGCCAAGAGCGACACCAGCAACGUUCAGAGCGGCGGUCAGGAUGACGAGGCGGGUGUAGUCACCGAGGACAUCACUCUAAAGGCGGGGCAGGAGCUGAAGCGCGCCUUCUCGCUGAAGAAGGCGGAGUCGGUCUUGUGGGAGUUUGUCUCCGCCAACGGGCACGACGUCGCUUUCACCACCUACUUUGUGCCCAAGAAGGCGGCACAGAGUAUGGACACAUCGAAGUUGCCUACAAGCAUGCUGGAGUCCUACGUGGUCUCCAAGGCCAGCCCGUCGGAGGGAUCGGACAAGUACACCGCCAGCGACGACGGGCUGUUUGUUAUUGUGUGGGACAACAAGAAGUCGUGGUUUACAGCGAAGCACCUACAGCUGAACGUCUUCAAGCAGACGGCCACUUUCACGAAUGGAACGUAAACCACUGCAGCGUUCGAGAACGAGAGAGCGCACGCACACUCUGGUGUGACGGGCUCGCAGGCGCGCGAGCAGCGGAUUCGCACAUGCAAGCCGGUGGGCCUACAGCAAAAGGGGUGUAUAGUCCCACGGUUCUACAAACGUGGGCACGCCUGUGCCGUGCAUGCGCCGGAUGUGUGCGCUUCACUACAGUGCCAUCGCCUCCUCAGCUGAUCUCUUUGCGCAUUCGCUUCUCGUGCGCGUGCCUGCUUUUCGUCGCACACGUGACAGCUGCCGGCAUCCGCAACGUUUCGGUCCCUGUCUCUGAUGGCGCCCCUGAUGACGAGGGCGCACACACCUCUCAGCGCGUCGUAUCUCAGCGUCCGGUGCACCUCCCCUCCCCCCACACUCGGUGGGGCGGCCAAGCACGACCCCCUCUAUCGCUGCCAAUGCCCAGCUACUUCUGGUUCUGGCAUGGCCUAGUGCCUGCGGCGGCGAACACGCUUCGCCAUGCACAUGAUGUGCAAGGUGCCAGCGUGGCUCGAGCGCAUUCCACCCACGUCCCUCGCUGCCAACUGGUGUGGGGAGCCUGAGGCCACCCCGAGGGAAGGAUGCGCCAGGUGGCCACCGGCACUAGUGGGCGCGGCUGUGAGGCGGGCGGGCAGAGUGUGAGGCAGCGGCCACGCUCAGGUGACUGAGUCGGUGCACGGCUGUAACGCGUGUGUGCAGGGCUGCUUCGCACCACGCGAUGGGGGCCUGUGACCGGCGUGGAGGGGGUGUAGAGUUGGGGGGGCGGCUAAGCCGUGUUGAAUGGCGGAGAAGCGGGCACGCUGGACGGGACAACAAGCGCAUUGGCACUCGUGCUCGAGUGAGCGAUAGGGCCUUUUUUGGAUACGGUGCCCGUUCUCCUCUGCCUCUUGGCUCGCUGACCAGUCUGACCCCCUCCCCCUCCCCUCUCCCUCUCCCAUUUACGCAUGGGUCUUUGCCUCGAUCUGCGAAUUGCCGCCUUUUUGUGCGUGCAGUAGUGUAACAGCUCUCUCGCCGCUGCACAUCGGGUGCGUGUGUGUGUGUGUGUGUGUGUGUGUGUUUGUGUGUUCGAGUGCGUGUGAACGUGCUCAGCCGAAGUCCUCGUACGGAGAUGCACUUUCACUGCGCGAUCCACAUGUCUGCUUCCCAUUUGUUUUUGUUUAUGUUUUGUCUGUUCUUCUUCCCUCUCCUCCCCUCCCCUCCCCGUCCCCCUCCCCCCUCCAUCACCGCGGACGCAGCUGUCUGGUGGACGUGUCCUCCUGCUGCUGUGCUUUGCCCCCGUCUGUCUGUAUUUUUGUUGUUGUUGUUCUCUCGCUUUUUCGGAGUUUCCUCAAGCACGUCGUCCCGGCAGAUCUUGUCGUGUCACGUCUGGCUGUGUGCUGCAUUAUCUUGCUUCUCCCUCACUCUUCAUCUCUGCAGUUUUUUUUUUCUUUUCAGUCGCAGCCCUCUCCCCCCAUCGGUUUGUCUCACGGCUGCAGAACCAUCUCCAUCCCCUCGUCCCGUCGAGUCCCACUCGGCCUCCAGCUUGUUCGUUCGUUUGCCGCUUCUCAAGUUUCGCUGCUGGUGUGGCGCCUUUAUCCCGUCUCGUCCCACUUGCGUGUCACGUUCUGCUUUCUUCUCAGGGCCUGUGCAUUGGCAACCUUGCCAGAUUGGCCGUGUCAGAGGAGCCUACGCCAACUGCGAUGGAUUACGCGCUUGGUAGCCAGUCUCCGACGUCACGCCGACAUCCCUCGAAGUAGCGCUACACAGUGUGGCACGCCGAGCCAAAGGCUCCUUGAUGACAUCCGUCCCACACCAGAAGGACGAGGAUAGGGAAGCUCACGAGACCGCAGGAGACCAUGAUCGCCCCAGUCGCACACGUGCACUUGUCCGCACUUUGGAUUCCUGCAGCGGCGGGUGACUGGCAGAGACAAGACGGAGGGCAGACGGUGUGCCGCUUGCAACUCCGCUACCAGUGUGGUCCCCACCCACUCACCCACCCACCCCCGCCUGUGUGUUGCUGUGAGGGCGUCCGACCCCACGUUGUACCAGGCAUGCUAUGCACGAUUUGCGAACUACUCGACGCUCAACGAGCCCCUCGUUGCACGCUAUGACCUUGCACGCAGUGACCUCAUCACACAGAUCUCACUCGCGCUGAAUCGGCUUCCUCCGUCGGGUGCCCACGACUGCCCCCUGUGCCCCCCCCCUCCCUCAG
rnacentral:misc_RNA from 1 species